rnacentral:misc_RNA from 1 species
GAUGAAGAACGCAGCGAAAUGCGAUACGUAAUGUGAAUUGCAGAAUUCGGUGAAUCAUCGAAUCUUUGAACGCAUAUUGCGCUCUCUGGUAUUCCGGAGAGCAUGCUUGUUUGAGUAUCAGUAAACACCUCAACUUCCAUAUCUUUUUUGAAAUGGGAGUUGGACUUGAGUGAUCCCAACGCUUUUCCUCACCGAAAAGUGGCGGGUUACUUGAAAUGCAGGUGCAGCUGGACUUUUCUCUGAGCUAUAAGCAUAUCUAUUUAGUCUGCCUAAAAAACAGAUUAUUACCUUUGCUGCAGCUAACAUAAAGGAGAUUAGUUCUUGUGCUGACUGAUGCAGGAUUCACAAAGACAGGCUUCGGCCGACUUUGUAAACUCGAUCUCAAAUCAAGUAAGACUACCCGCUGAACUUAAGCAUAUCAAUAAGCGGAGGA